UACGUAGGGGGCAAGCGUUGUCCGGAUUUAUUGGGCGUAAAGAGCGUGUAGGCGGCUAGGUAGGUCCGUUGUGAAAACUCGAGGCUCAACCUCGAGACGCCGAUGGAAACCAUCUAGCUAGAGUCCGGAAGAGGAGAGUGGAAUUCCUGGUGUAGCGGUGAAAUGCGUAGAUAUCUGGAGGAACACCGGUGGCGAAGGCGGCAUCCUGGACCAAUACUGACGCUGAGGAGCGAAAGCCAGGGGAGCAAACGGG
rnacentral:rRNA from 1 species